rnacentral:tRNA from 1 species
UAGCCCAGUGGUUAAGGCUAUGGAUCGCCAAUCCGGAGAUGGCGGGUUCGAUUCCCGU